rnacentral:rRNA from 1 species
AACGAACGCUGGCGGCAGGCUUAACACAAGCAAGUCGAGCGCCCCGCAAGGGGAGCGGCAGACGGGUGAGUAACGCGUGGGAAUCUACCCUUUUCUACGGAAUAACGCAGGGAAACUUGUGCUAAUACCGUAUAAGCCCUUCGGGGGAAAGAUUUAUCGGGAAAGGAUGAGCCCGCGUUGGAUUAGCUAGUUGGUGGGGUAAAGGCCUACCAAGGCGACGAUCCAUAGCUGGUCUGAGAGGAUGAUCAGCCACAUUGGGACUGAGACACGGCCCAAACUCCUACGGGAGGCAGCAGUGGGGAAUAUUGGACAAUGGGCGCAAGCCUGGUCCAGCCAUGCCGCGUGAGUGAUGAAGGCCCUAGGGUUGUAAAGCUCUUUCACCGGUGAAGAUAAUGACGGUAACCGGAGAAGGAGCCCCGGCUAACUUCGUGCCAGCCGCCGCAGUAAGAC